rnacentral:lncRNA from 1 species
AAAACACCAAAAAAAAAAUGAAAUCAACUCGGCUUGGGCUGGAAAACGGCUCGGCUCAAGACAGAAAAGGUGGCUCGAAAACGCGACUCGGAGAAGUCGGCUCAACUUGGCUCUAAGGAUUGGCUAGCACUCGGGUCAACGCAGGUUGACACUCGGGUCGGGUCGCCUGAUUUCAAAAUGCAUGGAUCAUUUGAGAAUAGUAACGCCAAAACGACAUCAUUUUCAGCAAGUAUAAAAAGCUCCAACCUUUAUUUUUAUCGCAAAAAGUUCUUCCCUCUCUCUCCUCUUUUUUUUUCCCUCCUUCUUUCUAAACAGAAUCUAGAUUUCGGUUGAAUGUCUACCGAAAUCUGGAAAAACCCUUCAAAAACUUCAAAGUUGGCCUAAAAUAUCGCCAAAAAACUUGAAUCUCGUCGAAAAAUUUCACCGGACUCUGAAAAAUUUUCAAAAAUUUUUCAAAAAAAACCUUCAAAAAAAUCAAAAAACUCCUAAAGUAGUUUCUAACACCUAUAACCUUUUUUAACUUCUAUUUCCUCUCUAUUUUCCUCUCUUAUUUCUAUUUGAUUCCCCUCUAAUUUCCCUCCAUAUGUUUCUGUUUGAG